GCUAUCUUAGCUCAAAUGGUAGAGCACAUGGUUCUCAACUAUGUAAUAGUGGGUUCAAUUCCCACAGAUGGCA